UACGUAGGGUGCGAGCGUUGUCCGGAAUUAUUGGGCGUAAAGAGCUCGUAGGCGGUGUGUCGCGUCGGCCGUGAAAACCUGGGGCUCAACUCUGGGCGUGCGGUCGAUACGGGCAGACUAGAGUACUGCAGGGGAGACUGGAAUUCCUGGUGUAGCGGUGGAAUGCGCAGAUAUCAGGAGGAACACCGGUGGCGAAGGCGGGUCUCUGGGCAGUAACUGACGCUGAGGAGCGAAAGCGUGGGGAGCGAACAGG
rnacentral:rRNA from 1 species